rnacentral:tRNA from 1 species
GCAUUGGUGGUUUAGUGGUAAAAUUAGCCGUUGCCAUGUGACUCAGAUCCAUUGAGUAGCAUUGUCGGCUAGCCCCGGGUUCGAUUCCCGGCCGAUGCA